rnacentral:pre_miRNA from 1 species
UUACUACUCCCUCCGUCCGAAAAUACUUGUCAUCAAAAUGAAUAAAAAGAGAUGUAUCUAGAACUAAAAUACAUCUAGAUACAUCCCUUUUUAUCCAUUUUGAUGACAAGUAUUUCCGGACGGAGGGAGUAUCUU